GACAGAGGGUGCAAAGCGUUGUUCGGAAUUACUGGGCGUAAAGCGCGUGUAGGCGGCCAUCUAAGUCGGGCGUGAAAUCCCACGGCUCAACCGUGGAAGUGCACUCGAAACUGGAUGGCGUAGAGUCCUGGAGAGGAAGGUGGAAUGCGUUGGUGUAGAGGUGAAAUUCGAUAGAUAUCAAGCGGAACACCGGUGGCGAAGGCGGCCUCUGGACAGCGACUGACGCUGAGUCGGCGAAAG
rnacentral:rRNA from 1 species